GUGUGUGUGUGUGUGUGUGUGUGUGUGUGUGUGUGUGUGUGUGUGUGUUUGUCCAUGCUUUUUAUUCCAGGAAAACACCCCUAAACCUGGACGAUGCAGAGAGUUGUGCGCCGCCCUAUGGGACUCCCAAUCACGGCCGGAUGUGAUACAGCCUGGAUUCGAACCAGGGACUGUAGUGACUCCUCUUUCACUGAGAUGCAGUGCCUUAGACCCCUGUGUCCAUGUGUGUGUGUUAAAUAGUUAACUGUACUAGAAUGCUUAAAAAGCCCACUAAAAUGUUAAAUAUCGGUAUUGUUUUUUUUGGUAAGUAAAAUAUUGGAUAUCGGCCAAAAAUGUCAUGUAGGUGCAUCACUAAUUAUUAUUAUUAUCAUCAUCAUCAAUCCUAAUGACUAGUUACUUUUACCCUGCCUUCAUGUACAUAUCUACCUCAAAUACCUCUGCACAUUGAUCUGGUACUGGUACUCCCUGAAUGUAGCUCCAUUCUUGUGUAUUCUAUUUUACUCCUCCUGUUUCUAUUUUAGUUUUAAACUCUGCAUCGUUGGGAAGGGCUUGUAAGAAAGCAUUUCACUGUAAAAAAAAGUCUACACCAGUUGUGUUUGGCACAUGUGACAAAUAAAAUUGUAUCUCUUUUUAUGACAUGAAACAUUCAUGGACAUUUAGCUAGCGAGAUAGCUGAUUUGACCUGGGAGAUGAACAUUGAGUUGUUAUUUUGCCUGAAAUGCAUAUGGUCUGGUUUUUUGAUAUAUGCUUUCGCAAAAAUAAUCCUUUGGUUGUAUUUUCGAAGGUUUUAGGUAUCAUUAGAAUAUGAAAAAAAUGCAUUUUCAUUAGUUUAUGUUACUGUAGCCAAUAUGUAAAAACAAAAAAACCCAAAACAUUAUACACCAUCACAAAGAAAUGCAUUAUUAUUGUGUGUCAUGUCCUCCUAAAACUGCUUAUCACACAAACUCAGUUAGUGAUAUCGAAAUUCUAACAGUGUUGAAUAGACUUAUUUAAGGGUGGGGUGACAUGACGUGGCUGAGUAAUGAAAAUGUUAAAUUCAUAUGACCUCAAAAUUAUGCUCUUGGCACUUCUAGUGUUAAUCCACAGAUGAAAGAGGCAACCUAGUUAGGCAACUAACUAAACUAUCAUUCAUCUCUCCUAGUUCAUUUUUCAAUUACCCACGUGGGAUUGUAUGCUCCUGAAAACCAAUGAGUAGAUAGAGGCGGGACCAAGUUGUAUUUUACAUGCAAACCACACCAGCCAUGUUGCAUGUGCAAGCGUUGCUAAAUAAAUGUACAAAUACAUGUUAUUUAAUCAAUUCACCCACACCGCUCGCACGUGUGAACGAGCGUCUGCUUAGCCAAGUGCUAGAAUAGAACUUGGUUCUAUUUAAGACGCUCCACAAGUCCCCUCCUUAUUGGAUAUCACAAAUACUUGCAAGACAAAAGAGGAGAGAUUAAUCAAAGAUGAACUCAAAAACAAUUAUGUUUCCCUUUUUAUCUGUGGGUUAAUCGUCGGAGUAGAGAAACACACGAUUUUGUAUGACUCUGAGUAAAAACUCUACAAAGAACUAGCUAAAAAGAGGACCAUAGGCAUGUCAGGUAAAAAAUGUAAUUUUAUUUGACCUUUAUUUAACUAGCAAGUCAGUUAAAAACAAAUUCUUAUUUUCAAUGACAGCCUACCGGGGAACACUGCACCUGAACCUGCUUUGUUCAGGUGCAGAAGGACAAAUUUGUACCUUGUCAGCUCGGGGAUUUGAUCUUGUAACCUUCCGGUUACUAGUCCAACGCUCUAACCACUAGGCUACCUGUUAGGCUUACCCUAUGUUAAUUUCCCAGGAAAAACUAGCUAGCAGCAGCUAGCUAGCUAGCUCAAUGUCCAUGAGGGUUUCGACCUUCCCCAAAAUUAAUAUAAAUGAUUCACAGUUAAUUUUGGUAUGUCAUGAUCACACGCACGAUGGCGCACACGUCAUAUGUUAUAGCCAUAGACAUUAAAACCAGUAGAGCGUGAUAGCACUGACGUCCUCCACAUAUUCCUAUGGAAAACUCCUGAUUGCGCAUGAUGUCGAAAGUUUUUGAAUUUGAAGCGCACCAUUUUGCUGAAUGGUGUUGAAUGGCACCAAAAUAAUCGAUAAGUAUCAUAGCAAAAGUAGCCGUAACUGGCAAAUGAUCAUGUUCGACGUAAUUGUUUUCAUCCUGCCUGAGAGAAUCAACCUUAAAGUCUAUGGCAUGAGGGCGCGAGCAGAGUUUCUAAACCCAGAGGAGCAACAUCGCAACACUUACGGCAACGCUUGCGAAAUAGACCAUGCUGGGGUUUAGGGUUUGAGAAGUCAAUGAGAGUGAACAAUUCUUCCUUAGUUGUUCAUUUUUAGGCACAACCUAAAUUCGUGCCAAUGACUUAUGUAGUUGAACAUGUUUUUUUUACCCCAACCUCGUGAAAGUGACAUUCUGACAUGUUUUCAUUUUCAUCAAAAAACAACUUUAUAUCGAAGGAGUGCCUUUGAUUUGACAGUUUGGCGUGAGACGACCGUUAGACGCGAUGAAGUAUUUCUAUGCAUGAGCUUAGCUAGCCAAUGUCACUUACAAGUGUGAUCGGGAAUUUCUAUUGGAGAGAAGUUUUAGCCGAUCUUCAUACUCUGUCUUGGCCUUCUAGCCAUCGCCGAUCCAUUUUUCAUUUUCCAUUUGUUUUGUCUUUGUUUUCCACACCUGGUUUCAAUUCCCCAAUUACCAAUUCAUUAUUUAACCCUCUGUUUUCCCCAUGUUUUUUUGUGCGUGAUUGUUUUAUGUAUGUUCGGUCCGUUAUUGUGGGCUCAGUAUUACGACAUGUUAUUGGAAUAUUUGAGUAAAGUUACUUGUGUUACUCAUCUCUGCUGUUUUGCACCUGACUCCUGUGCACCAGCUACACCCAGACCACUACACGUUGCUAGCUACUGUACUUAUUUACUGCCGCCUGCCUAGUCAGCUAGCCAGCUACAGUAGCUGCUAUUGUAGCUUUUGGUAAGUAAUAUUGUUAUUAUUGUUGCAAUAACAAAUGUAUUUUAAAUAAAUGUAAAAAAUAUAUACAAAAAUAAAGGCUUGCACUUCAAUGGCAUCCCUCAGAUUUCCUUUUAUCUUUCCAACCAGGCGCAGUACUAUAAAGGCACCACUGAUCACGACAAGAGGCGCAACAGAGAAAUUCACAAUUCAGGGCAAUCAUAUGUACCUACGGGGGAAGGAUGGCCAGCCACACAUGAGGGUGAUUUUUACUAAAGAGGAGGCUGUGCUGCCCGAGAUGCAUGCAGGCCAUUACGGAGUGAAGAGCAUGAUUGCCAAAAUCAACCUACGCUUCUUCUGACGGGGAAUUGUCAACGAGAUGGACAGCUGGGCAAGUGAAAUAACCUUCUGUUUAUCAAUCACAUUCUAUUAUAUCUGAAAUUAUUAUGAUUUCAAUGAAUGGCAUAUCAGAGAGCACACAAUUUUUCAAUUUGUCACUUUUUGCUUAAAGAUCAUUACCCGGUUUAGCUUGCCAGAAGUUUGAGAGGUUUAAGACUGUGGCGCCCGGAGAUGAAGCUCAUCAAAGUUGUUUCACCAUAGCACAUGAUCGGAGAAACAGAAGGACAGCUACUGGAGCAGAAUCAAGAAGGGGACCAAGUGCUACGAUAUCCGGCCAAAUAACUUGGUUUGGAAGAAGGAUGAAAGGAAGGUGAGACCUGGGAAACGUUGCUGCUCUUUUGCUCCUAGCUGGGGUCACCAUCUGUUAAGGGCUACCUCGGUGGAAGCAAACAAUCUUCUCCAGUUGGAGCAGUUGGACAGUCGACCACUGAAAGCACUGACAAUGGCAGUUAGGCUGAGCUUAUAAAAAUGUUCCUCUUCAAUUUACCUCUCUAAAUGACUUUAGGACCAUCGACUGUCCAAGCCCCCAGGAGGUAUCCCAUCCACCAGAACCAGUGAGUUCGGAUCAGUCUGAUUCGCUGUGCUCUGAGUCGGGGGGGGGACCAGCUUGAGGACCUUGGGGUUCUGCCCAACACCCAGACGUGGAUCCACCUGAUGUCCUCCAUUACCAACCACCCUCCAACUUCUCCUUAUUUCAUAUACUGUUAUUGUCAUUAUCUGCUAAGAAGGUUUUCUAUCAUACUGGGCACAUAAUAUGUGAGAUACACAGACUAACUAAAAACACGAGCACCGCAAACACUCAGAAGAGAGCAGCAGCGCCUGGACUUUGCAGUCUCCCUCUUCAAGUCCCCCUUCCAAGACUGGCUGCCUGUUGAGAACAAGUGACAGGCAGAACCUCCCACCCACACAGCAACCACACACCAUAAUUCAGUAUUUUAGUCUGAUUGUUUAAUUUUGUACAGUCACAUGGCAAUCUGUGAAAAUAAAUUAAUGACACAACUGUACCAAAAAAUAUCACACUUUUUGCCCACAAGGACACAUGGGAACAUUAUUUGGCAUGACAGCCCAGAUGUAUUUUUUUUGUUACCCGAGCUACAGAUGGCUAUAUCUGUCCACUAAUAUAGGACUAGUAAAGGCCCAGUGUACUACUUUUGUGAUUUUUCAGGAGGUGCUGCAGCACCCUCAGCACCCCUACUUCCUACAGAUAUGCAAGGAAUCCUUUUAUAUCCUAUAGCUGUGCCCCGGUGAUAGGCUGUGUAGGCUAUUGUACCACUUGGAUUAUAGGACCUGGCACAGGUCCUAAAUUAACAUGUGAUGUGGGAGGAUGAAGAGAGUAAGAUGACAUUGGGACAAUAACCUAGGGUCAUUUUUUUGCAUUUGAUUUUGCGAGGGAUGCCUGGCUCUGGCUUAAAUUUACUUACCGUGACAUCAAUAGGCCCAUAGUUUUAGCAAGAUGUUCACGUUUUUCCAUUACUUUCUGACUAAAACAAUACAUAAUCCACUGGGCAAAAAACACAAUGAAUCAUUUGUACGAGUAUGAGUAUUGUAUCAUUUGUAGGAGUUAUUUGUACGUCAUUUCAACUCCAAAUAAUAUAUGUGAUGACGCUGAAGUAAUGUGGAAAACUGAUUGGAUUUGAAAAAAAGUAAUUACCGUAAGGGAAUUCCGUCUUUUUUCCGUGACUUUCAAUUAAAUACAAUGACAUGGUGACAUUGUUUGUUGAUUUUACGUUAGUUGACUACUCAACCAAAUGUAAAUCACAACUGAACGUUGAAUUGCUGACAUAUGUGCCCAGUGGGCAACAACCGAAUAAUAAACUUAUUUGAAAGACA